CGACUCCUCUGUAGAUCUCGAUCGGCUUCUUCCAUCUCCUUUGUCAGCCCCGACUCCCCAGGUCUCACUGUUUCCAGAUCCCCAACCCUCCCCAUCCAUGGCCGCCGCCACCUCCCCAUCCAUGGCCAUCUUCUUGGGGAAGAUCCCGCAACCGCUGCGAUGAUAGCCUCGUUCCCGGAGGCGGGGACGACCCUGAAGGCGAACCUAGUGCACGCGAGGCCGGUGCCGUUAUUGUGGGUCGGGCGGCGGUCAGAUCCACCACGGCAACAACCGGCGUCCUCUCCCUCUCUAUCCAUCUUUCUCCCAUGACUGAGAAGAGGGCUUCGUCAAGGAUCCCAUUAUGGAUGUCAACGUGGGAGGCUGCUUCCUCCCCUUCCAAAUCGACCAUCCAUGGAUGGAGGCUAUGAGAGCUGAGUGAGCACACACAUGGUUGCGCUUCAAGAUGCAGGGACGCCGCAAUGGAGCAAGUAAGGCCUCCCUUCUCCCACUGUUUCUUCAGAUCCGCCACGGCUAGCCAUAUCCGGCGCCCCUGCACCACCGUGGUGAGGUGGAAGAAAUCUCUUGAGGCCAAACCGCAGGGAGGAUGGCGGCCAACAAUCGGUACAUGUUCUCAACGUCCCAUGGAACUGGGUACAGGUGCGGCUGCGUGCUCGUGAUCC